UACGAAGGGGGCUAGCGUUGCUCGGAAUCACUGGGCGUAAAGCGCACGUAGGCGGAUUGCUAAGUCAGGGGUGAAAUCCUGGAGCUCAACUCCAGAACUGCCUUUGAUACUGAGGAUCUUGAGUUCGGGAGAGGUGAGUGGAACUGCGGGUGUAGAGGUGAAAUUCGUAGAUAUUCGCAAGAACACCAGUGGCGAAGGCGGCUCACUGGCCCGAUACUGACGCUGAGGCACGAAAGCGUGGGGAGCAAACAGG
rnacentral:rRNA from 1 species